AAUAUUCCAGUCAUUUCCUUCUCAGACAAUGGUGGCUCUACCUGAGCAGCCAACUCUCUCCAUCGCUGGGCGUAUUCUUUAAAGGACUCAUUUUCUUUCAUUGCCAUCCCUUGCAACUGCAUUCGGUCAGGUGCCAUAUCCAAAUUAUAUUUGUACUGACGGAGGAAUGCGUCAGCCAAAUCUUCCCAGUUUUGAAUCCGCCCUUGCUCUAAGCUCAUGUACCAUCUCAGAGA
rnacentral:lncRNA from 1 species